GAUGCAAUUACUCUCUUAUACUGCUCAGCCCUUUUAUGAAGCAGAAUGAAUAUAUGUACCAGCUCAAUGCACUCUGCAAAAACAGAAUCAAGUACAUAUUUGGCUUCACUGUGCCAUGCAACAAUCACAGAAUCAUAGAAUGCACUGGGUUGGAAGGGACCUCAAGGUUCAUCAAGUUCCAAUGCCCAUGCCACAGUGUCAUUUCACUUAUCCCGAUUUCAUUUCAUGAUCCAGAAAGGCACUUGCUAUUAGCACAGCUGAAUUUUUCUACUGCACUCUCAAAAUGCAGUGAAACUUGAGAGCUGUCCAGAUGAUGUGGAAACCUGGUUGUACAAAUUGUCCUGUGGCACCAUGUGCUUGAGACCUGUAGAAUCUUUCCACUAAAACAAAAAGUUGAUGAUAU